GCUGGCGGCGUGCUUAACACAUGCAAGUCGAACGAUGAUGGGAGCUUGCUCCUGGAUUAGUGGCGAACGGGUGAGUAACACGUGAGUAACCUGCCCUUAACUCUGGGAUAAGCCUGGGAAACUGGGUCUAAUACCGGAUAUGACUCCUCAUCGCAUGGUGGGGGGUGGAAAGCUUUAUUGUGGUUUUGGAUGGACUCGCGGCCUAUCAGCUUGUUGGUGAGGUAAUGGCUUACCAAGGCGACGACGGGUAGCCGGCCUGAGAGGGUGACCGGCCACACUGGGACUGAGACACGGCCCAGACUCCUACGGGAGGCAGCAGUGGGGAAUAUUGCACAAUGGGCGCAAGCCUGAUGCAGCGACGCCGCGUGAGGGAUGACGGCCUUCGGGUUGUAAACCUCUUUCAGUAGGGAAGAAGCGAAAGUGACGGUACCUGCAGAAGAAGCGCCGGCUAACUACGUGCCAGCAGCCGCAGUAAUACGUAGGGCGCAAGCGUUAUCCGGAAUUAUUGGGCGUAAAGAGCUCGUAGGCGGUUUGUCGCGUCUGCCGUGAAAGUCCGGGGCUCAACUCCGGAUCUGCGGUGGGUACGGGCAGACUAGAGUGAUGUAGGGGAGACUGGAAUUCCUGGUGUAGCGGUGAAAUGCGCAGAUAUCAGGAGGAACACCGAUGGCGAAGG
rnacentral:rRNA from 1 species